UAGCCUGCUCAGGCUCUCUAGCCUCUUCUCUCCUUCCCUUGGCUCCUUGAUGAAUUUACCUUUCAGCAUAGAUUUUGUUGCAUCAGUUACUUCAAAAUGUUUGACUUAGGGGAACUUGGACAUGGAAAACGCUGUCACAAAGAAAGGAGCAGAUAUCAGAAGGAUUCAUGCAAGGCAAGGAGUACUGAAGACCUCCAGGAAACUAAACACAGCUAGGAGGAGCUGGGAAGAAUUUGUUACAUGCUCUCAAAGGAACCAACCACCUUCACCUCAGACUUCCACCUUCAAGAACCAUGACCAAAUCAAUUUCUGUAGCUUAAGUCACCUCGUUUGUCAUACUUUGGCUGUAACAGUCAUGGAAAAAUAAUAUAAUAACUUAGAUCAUUUCA